AUGGCAACAAUACAAUACGUGCCUUGCUGCCUUGCUGUCACUGGGAAAGGACACCGCAAGAUUGAACCCAAAGCUAAGCACUUCUCCCAUGGCAGGAAAGAUCAAUCUAGUAGGCUAAACCAAACUAAUAAUUCGAAGAGACUUGCAAAGAUAUCAAAUCAUGCAUAUAAGAAUUUAGAGAAGAAUCAAAUAUUGUUCAUAGAUAAUCUUGAUCAUAAACCCACAAUUCAUCGAAUCUCGGCAAACACACCGCAAAAAGUAUUACAUCUAAUAGCUCUCCAAGAGAAUCGAGGAGAACUUUGUAUUGAGAUCCAAAGAGAGAGAAGAAGCCGUCUAGCUAAUAACUAUGGACCCAAAGGUCUAUGGUAA
rnacentral:rRNA from 1 species